rnacentral:lncRNA from 1 species
AGUGCGCCACGUGGCAUCAUUUGAUUCAAUUGGAACAAUGCUUCCAAAAUUAUAUAUAUAUAUAUAUAUAUAUAUAUAUAUAUAUAUGAUUAUUAUAAAUGUUUUAAUAUUUUCAAAUAUCACUUUAGUUUGUUACCAUUAGAGAACAAUUAGAAAAUCGUUUAUAUUUUUAAUUUUACUAUCACAAAUAUGUCCCUUCAAAAACUAUAAUAAUAUAAUAUAAGAGAGGUAAAAGUAUCAAAAAUUAAUCAGUAUUAAGUAUUUAACCUAUGUUUAACUAAAAUUUUUUAACAGUUUCUAGCGGCAGAGAUAUAUUUGAAGAAAUUAGAAAUUUUCUAACAGUUUCUAGCGACAGAGAAUAAAUAUUAUACUAUUUGACCGUAUGCUGUACUAUUUGAUUAGUGGGACAGGCUAUAGAAAAGUGCAAUAUAUAGUCAAAUAAUGUAAUAUUUUUUUAAUAUUGUAUUAUUUGAUAGUAUCCUAUACUAUUUUAUAGUUUUUUUGUACUUACUAAAUAAUAGAAUAUAUAGUCAAAUAUUAUAAUAUUUUUAUUACGGAGUGAGAGCAAAGAGAGAAAAAGAAAAAUGAGAAGAAAGAUGAGGAGGAAUACCUGUUUAUACACUUAUAAAAUACAGAAAACCCUUAUAAAUACCUGCUUAUACACUUUUUCACUUUCUUUCAAAAAUUUACAUUUUGCCAUUUAAAAUUUCAGAAAUAUUUUCACGGACUAUGAUAUUAACGGAGAGAGUGAAAUAAGUAAAUUAUUCUUACUUAUUCUAUAAAAAUAAAUAUUUUAAUAUAUUUUUAUAAUUUUAAGGAUAUUUUCGGUAUUAAUUAUAAGAAAUGAAUGAAAUAUCUAUACCUCUAUACCUAUACAUUAUUUCUCUUGGAGUUUGCCACGUGGCAAUUCCUCCUUCACCCCUCCUUUUCACUCCAAAAUUUCUAUUCUCCAAUCAUUGCUUCGCUGUAACGUCUACCUCUUCGACUUUCCGUCUCAUUAAUUUCUUCCCUGUAACGUUUGCCUCUUCAGUUUUCCGUCUCAUUAAUUUUUUUUCUGUAACGUAUGUCUCUUUGGCUUUCCAUCUCAUUAAUUUUUUCUCUGUAACGUCGCUGCUUCGACUUCCCCCUUAUUAAUUUCUAUUUUCUAAGAGGCGUUGCCCGAGAAGCCCCUAGGCACAGCAUAUGGCGUCCUCGACAACGACCUCGCCUACUACGUCCGCUCCAACCUCAAGCCCCGCAGGCGUGCCACCCUCGCCCUUGCCGUCAACGUUGAGUGAGUCGAACUCUAACCCUAGCCUUGAAUCUUCCUCCCUCGAUUUCGACCACUUAAAUUUAUAAUGUAUAGUUAUACAAAGGGUGUGCAUCCCUCUCCUCUAAUAGUCUCGGAGGACGCAAAGUAUCGAUUAAAAUAUGGACUUGCUGAAAAGGGGUUGAAGGCACUGUGGUACUUCACGAAAUUAUCGGUGUUAGUAGAAAAUGCCCUAAAUAUGGAUACAAAGUGGUCUGAUUUUUAUGUAACAAUUUUUUUUCUCCUAUAAUUUUUUUUUUAUCUUUUGUUGUUUUUCAUUGAAUUAUAAUUUUAUUUUAAAAUUUUUAAAGUAUUUUUUAUAUUAUUAAAUUUAAUCAAAUAUGAUUAUAUUCGCCGCAUCGCGCGGGUUCCUACACUAGUUAAUGAUGAAACCUGAUAAGAGUGGCUAAAUCAAAAAUUUAAGUAUCGUGUCACGGAAUCGUGUUGAAAAUUUUGUCCGUACUAUACGGCACGGUGCGUGCCGGACCAUGCCGGUUACAAAAAAUUCAUGUGUGCCAAUAUAUGAUAAAAUGAAAUAUGUCGUUUCUUUAGCAACAAAGUUUUUAACUGAUUAUUAUAUAUUUUAUCAAAUCUCUUGAACUUUACUGAGAAAAUUAUUUACUAAUUAAAAAAAUAGAGAGUUUUGAACUGUACCAUUGAUAUAGUGAUUAUAUCGUGCCGAUAUUUUGUUGAAACGAUAUCGUACGGUAGAUACGAUAUGUACUGAUGGGCACUUAAAUCAUUGGACUAUAU